rnacentral:rRNA from 1 species
GACGAACGCUGGCGGCGUGCUUAACACAUGCAAGUCGAACGGUAAGGCCCUUCGGGGUACACGAGUGGCGAACGGGUGAGUAACACGUGGGUGAUCUGCCCUGCACUUCGGGAUAAGCCUGGGAAACUGGGUCUAAUACCGGAUAGGACUCCUGGCUUCAUGGUUGGGGGUGGAAAGCUUUUGCGGUGUGGGAUGGGCCCGCGGCCUAUCAGCUUGUUGGUGGGGUAAUGGCCUACCAAGGCGACGAAGGGUAGCCGGCCUGAGAGGGUGACCGGUCACACUGGGACUGAGAUACGGCCAAGACUCCUACGGGAGGCAGAAGUGGGGAAUAUUGCACAAUGGGCGCAAGCCUGAUGCAGCGACGCCGCGUGAGGGAUGACGGCCUUCGGGUUGUAAACCUCUUUCAGCACCGACGAAGCGCAAGUGACGGUAGGUGCAGAAGAAGGACCGGCCAACUACGUGCCAGCCGCCGCCGUAA